AGUCUGUGCUCUUUUUAACUUCUGUCUUCAGCACAUCAUCGAUUUCUUCAUAAAUAGCUCUGAAAGAGGAGGAAUUACAUCACAGGUCUGAACUCCAGUUACC